rnacentral:rRNA from 1 species
GAUGAACGCUGGCGGCGUGCCUAAUACAUGCAAGUCGAGCGAACAGACGAGGAGCUUGCUCCUCCGACGUUAGCGACGGACGGGUGAGUAACACGUGGAUAACCUACCUAUAAGACUGGGAUAACUUCGGGAAACCGGAGCUAAUACCGGAUAAUAUAUUUAACCGCAUGGUUCAAUAGUGAAAGACGGUUUUGCUUUCACUUAUAGAUGGAUCCCCGCCGCAUUACCUAGUGGGUAAGGUAACGGCUUACCAAGGCAACGAUGAGAAGCGGACCUGAGAGGUUGAUCGGCAAAUUUGGACUGGGGCCACGCUCCAGACUCCUACGGGAGGCGGAAGUAGGGAAUCUCCCGCAUUGGGCGAAGGCCUAACGAGGCAACGCCGCGGGGUGGAGGAGGUUCUUCGAUUCGUAAAACUCUGUUAUUGGGGAGGAAGAAAUGGGUAGUUAAAUAUGCACGUAUUGACGGUACCUAAUCAGAAAGCCACGGCUAACUACGUG